AAUGAACGCUGGCGGCGUGGAUAAGACAUGCAAGUCGAACGAGGGAUUUUUGGAGCUUGCUUUAGAAAUUCCUAGUGGCGAACGGGUGAGUAUCACGUGAGCAACAUGCCUCGAAGAAUGGGAUAGCCCAGCGAAAGUUGGAUUAAUACCGUAUGUGGCUGGCGAUCUUUGGAUUGCUUCGCUAAAGGGUGGGGACCUUCGGGCCUGCCGCUUCGAGAUUGGCUCGCGGCCUAUCAGUUAGUUGGUGGGGUAAUGGCCUACCAAGGCGACGACGGGUAGCCGGUCUGAGAGGAUGUCCGGCCACACUGGAACUGAGACACGGUCCAUACACCUACGGGUGGCAGCAGUCAAGAAUCAUGCACAAUGGACGAAAGUCUGAUGCUGCAACGCCGCGUGGAGGAUGAAGGCCCUAGGGUCGUAAACUCCUGUCAUCAAAGAGUAUGGGGGUGUUAGUUAAUAAUUGAUGCUCUUGAUAGUAUUUGAAGAGGAAGGGACGGCUAACUUCGUGCCAGCAGCCGCGGUAAUACGAAGGUCCCGAGCGUUAUUCGGAAUCACUGGGCGUAAAGAGUAUGUAGGCGGCGUGGAAAGUCAGGUGUGAAAGCCCGGGGCUCAACCUCGGAAUUGCACCCGAUACUCCCACGCUAGAGUAAUGGAGGGGAGUCUGGAAUUCACGGUGUAGCAGUGAAAUGCGUGGAUAUCGUGAGGAACACUAGUGGCGAAGGCGAGACUCUGGACAUUUACUGACGCUGAGAUACGAAGGCUAGGGUAGCGAACGGG
rnacentral:rRNA from 1 species